AAUUAGUAAUUAUAGGUUUCAAGUUUAUAGAUAUGUUAGUAAAAAGAAUUAUCCAACUAGGGAAUUGAAAAUAAAAACUCGGGUCUAGAAUAAAGCUUUUAGUUCGUUUCCUCUUAAGAGUGUAUAUGAAGAAUAUUGAAUGCUUUUCGAAUUACAUAAACACCCACAAAGUUCGAAGAGUCAAAUGAAUAUAGCUAGUAAAAGAAAACCAAACAUUUAAGUCUGCUUUGACCCAUACAACCAUAAAUACACAAGUAUAUCGCUGUGUAUGAUUUCCCUCGUAAAGCCAUAUUUCAUUAUCAUUGUCCCCAUCUUAUUUCACUUCAUACAUAUCUACAAACACAAAAAUGUCUACUUACACACAUUUCGGCAUAUAUAUCACGUUUUGUAUAUACAUACUUUAAAUAAUAUACCACCCCAACUUUUAUGAAUUGGAAAGGGAACAUAAUCAAAAAUUUUACCAAACCAGAGUUUCUAAAGUAUAAACAUUUUUUUGGUAAAAAUAAAACUAAAUAGAAGCCAUACUUUAAAGAAAUGAAGAGUGGCAAUUGAUUUAACAUGAUACAAUUUUUAUUU
rnacentral:sRNA from 1 species